CAGCCCUGAAACUAGCCAAAACCUUCAAUCACAACAACACCAUAUAAAUAAACCCAAAUGCAAUAAGAACUUUACACCAAACCAUUUUUCCGCCCUAGUACGGGAGACAGAAAAG
rnacentral:rRNA from 1 species